rnacentral:lncRNA from 1 species
GAGAAGUCCUUUUCUCCAGAUGAAGAAGUUAAAAUUUUCUCCUUUUCUUCAGCCAAAAGUGCUUUUGGCUGUUAAUUUCCAUUUUAUCCCCCCAAAAACCGUUCUUCCCUCUGGUUCUUUGCCUGAAAUAUCAAGUUCUUUGCGUUUGUUUCUUUUCCUCUGGUUCUUUGUUCCUCUUCCGCCGGUGAGUUUCUUUUCUUCUUCUCUUUAAUUAUUCAUUCUGCUUUGUUUUUAGUUGUUUUCUGAUUGUUUAGGGUUUAGCAAAAAUUUUACAGAAAUUUUACAUUCUUCUAUUGUUCACCAUCUCUCUAUUGAAUUUGCUUCUGGGUUCCGAACCCCAACUCAUGGAUUCUGUUAAAACUGCUUUGUUUAAUAGGCACAGUAAUUACAGCAUUUCAGUUGAUGAAAUCGGUAUGAAAUUGGAUUUCGUUUGGGCACCUUAUGUAUUUGCAUCUGCCACUUUUGAUUUAUUUGCAUCUGCAUUAUUGAACAAAAUCGAUACUUCUACAUUUUGAUGUUAACUUCUACAAUUACCUCAUUCAUGCUGUCUGCUUUGUAAUUUGACGAACAUAUUUUUUUCCUUUCCUUCUUUAAUUACUAGGCCAUUUCGUUCUCUGAUCUUUUCUGGGUCACAAAACUCAAUAUGGCAAACAUCUGGAUUCUGUCUCAGAUGCUCUCUUCGUUGCACUUUCUAUCAUGGUUUAGGGUCAAAAGCUUCACUGAAGCAGUUUUCUGUGAAAAUGCCACGAAUUUUGUUUAUUUUACUAAAAGAGGAUUUGGCUAGUCAAAGUAAUUGUGAUUCAUGUUAAUGGAAAGUUGCCUUUUAAUUAAUUCCAUAUACAGUGAGAUCGAGUAGAAACUAAAAGACUUUGGUUAUAGUCUUUCCAAAAGCGGAAGAUUUCGUUUCUACUUACUCCUCCAGUGUGUAUUCUUUUUUCGUUUAAGUUCACUGAAUUUAUUAUUUGAUGAAAUGUUUUCUUGGAAAUUUUGCUGCAGAGUGUUUUUGUAACGUUGAAGUUUUCUUAAUGAAUAUACAUCUUCCAAUUUGUGUUUUUCUAAUUAGUUUUUAUAUUAAAAUGGUAUGCUAUGAGAUAUUCAUAGAGCCUCUAAUUAGUUCACAAAUCCUACAAUGGCAGGCUGCGAAGAAGCAUUUGAAUCAACGUAUUCAGAACCUGGAUGGUAAAAUGGAAACACAGAAAGAAAUCUUGAAGAGCAUUCAAACAAGUGUAAGUGCACAUGUGUUUCCAUCUUUGACAUCAUAGCCAGAUUAUCUCCUCAAUUAGAAGCAUUUGAAACAACAGCGUGUAAGUCGUAACCAGUUGCACUCUUUUGUUUAUUUAAAGUAUUCUAGUGCUGCUUUUGCUAGCAUAUGCUUCACUCUAAUGCUCGUUUAAUUGGUUUUUCAGGCAUAGUUGAAGUUGUUGUUAUGCUGGUCACAACUGCCUUGGUGACACUU